GGUUAAGCGACUAAGCGUACACGGUGGAUGCCCUGGCAGUCAGAGGCGAUGAAGGACGUGCUAAUCUGCGAUAAGCGUCGGUAAGGUGAUAUGAACCGUUAUAACCGGCGAUUUCCGAAUGGGGAAACCCAGUGUGAUUCGUCACACUAUCAUUAACUGAAUCCAUAGGUUAAUGAGGCGAACCGGGGGAACUGAAACAUCUAAGUACCCCGAGGAAAAGAAAUCAACCGAGAUUCCCCCAGUAGCGGCGAGCGAACGGGGAGCAGCCCAGAGCCUGAAUCAGUGUGUGUGUUAGUGGAAGCGUCUGGAAAGGCGCGCGAUACAGGGUGACAGCCCCGUACACAAAAAUGCACAUACUGUGAGCUCGAUGAGUAGGGCGGGACACGUGGUAUCCUGUCUGAAUAUGGGGGGACCAUCCUCCAAGGCUAAAUACUCCUGACUGACCGAUAGUGAACCAGUACCGUGAGGGAAAGGCGAAAAGAACCCCGGCGAGGGGAGUGAAAAAGAACCUGAAACCGUGUACGUACAAGCAGUGGGAGCCUCUUUUAUGGGGUGACUGCGUACCUUUUGUAUAAUGGGUCAGCGACUUAUAUUCUGUAGCAAGGUUAACCGAAUAGGGGAGCCGAAGGGAAACCGAGUCUUAACCGGGCGUUAAGUUGCAGGGUAUAGACCCGAAACCCGGUGAUCUAGCCAUGGGCAGGUUGAAGGUUGGGUAACACUAACUGGAGGACCGAACCGACUAAUGUUGAAAAAUUAGCGGAUGACUUGUGGCUGGGGGUGAAAGGCCAAUCAAACCGGGAGAUAGCUGGUUCUCCCCGAAAGCUAUUUAGGUAGCGCCUCGUGAAUUCAUCUCCGGGGGUAGAGCACUGUUUCGGCAAGGGGGUCAUCCCGACUUACCAACCCGAUGCAAACUGCGAAUACCGGAGAAUGUUAUCACGGGAGACACACGGCGGGUGCUAACGUCCGUCGUGAAGAGGGAAACAACCCAGACCGCCAGCUAAGGUCCCAAAGUCAUGGUUAAGUGGGAAACGAUGUGGGAAGGCCCAGACAGCCAGGAUGUUGGCUUAGAAGCAGCCAUCAUUUAAAGAAAGCGUAAUAGCUCACUGGUCGAGUCGGCCUGCGCGGAAGAUGUAACGGGGCUAAACCAUGCACCGAAGCUGCGGCAGCGACACUGUGUGUUGUUGGGUAGGGGAGCGUUCUGUAAGCCUGUGAAGGUGUACUGUGAGGUAUGCUGGAGGUAUCAGAAGUGCGAAUGCUGACAUAAGUAACGAUAAAGCGGGUGAAAAGCCCGCUCGCCGGAAGACCAAGGGUUCCUGUCCAACGUUAAUCGGGGCAGGGUGAGUCGACCCCUAAGGCGAGGCCGAAAGGCGUAGUCGAUGGGAAACAGGUUAAUAUUCCUGUACUUGGUGUUACUGCGAAGGGGGGACGGAGAAGGCUAUGUUGGCCGGGCGACGGUUGUCCCGGUUUAAGCGUGUAGGCUGGUUUUCCAGGCAAAUCCGGAAAAUCAAGGCUGAGGCGUGAUGACGAGGCACUACGGUGCUGAAGCAACAAAUGCCCUGCUUCCAGGAAAAGCCUCUAAGCAUCAGGUAACAUCAAAUCGUACCCCAAACCGACACAGGUGGUCAGGUAGAGAAUACCAAGGCGCUUGAGAGAACUCGGGUGAAGGAACUAGGCAAAAUGGUGCCGUAACUUCGGGAGAAGGCACGCUGAUAUGUAGGUGAAGUCCCUCGCGGAUGGAGCUGAAAUCAGUCGAAGAUACCAGCUGGCUGCAACUGUUUAUUAAAAACACAGCACUGUGCAAACACGAAAGUGGACGUAUACGGUGUGACGCCUGCCCGGUGCCGGAAGGUUAAUUGAUGUGGUCAGCGCAAGCGAAGCUCUUGAUCGAAGCCCCGGUAAACGGCGGCCGUAACUAUAACGGUCCUAAGGUAGCGAAAUUCCUUGUCGGGUAAGUUCCGACCUGCACGAAUGGCGUAAUGAUGGCCAGGCUGUCUCCACCCGAGACUCAGUGAAAUUGAACUCGCUGUGAAGAUGCAGUGUACCCGCGGCAAGACGGAAAGACCCCGUGAACCUUUACUAUAGCUUGACACUGAACAUUGAGCCUUGAUGUGUAGGAUAGGUGGGAGGCUUUGAAGUGUGGACGCCAGUCUGCAUGGAGCCGACCUUGAAAUACCACCCUUUAAUGUUUGAUGUUCUAACGUGGACCCGUGAUCCGGGUUGCGGACAGUGUCUGGUGGGUAGUUUGACUGGGGCGGUCUCCUCCUAAAGAGUAACGGAGGAGCACGAAGGUUGGCUAAUCCUGGUCGGACAUCAGGAGGUUAGUGCAAUGGCAUAAGCCAGCUUGACUGCGAGCGUGACGGCGCGAGCAGGUGCGAAAGCAGGUCAUAGUGAUCCGGUGGUUCUGAAUGGAAGGGCCAUCGCUCAACGGAUAAAAGGUACUCCGGGGAUAACAGGCUGAUACCGCCCAAGAGUUCAUAUCGACGGCGGUGUUUGGCACCUCGAUGUCGGCUCAUCACAUCCUGGGGCUGAAGUAGGUCCCAAGGGUAUGGCUGUUCGCCAUUUAAAGUGGUACGCGAGCUGGGUUUAGAACGUCGUGAGACAGUUCGGUCCCUAUCUGCCGUGGGCGCUGGAGAACUGAGGGGGGCUGCUCCUAGUACGAGAGGACCGGAGUGGACGCAUCACUGGUGUUCGGGUUGUCAUGCCAAUGGCACUGCCCGGUAGCUAAAUGCGGAAGAGAUAAGUGCUGAAAGCAUCUAAGCACGAAACUUGCCCCGAGAUGAGUUCUCCCUGACCCUUUAAGGGUCCUGAAGGAACGUUGAAGACGACGACGUUGAUAGGCCGGGUGUGUAAGCGCAGCGAUGCGUUGAGCUAACCGGUACUAAUGAACCGUGAGGCUUAACCUU
rnacentral:rRNA from 1 species